GUAAUUGCAGUUUAUGAUGUCUCUGGAGCGGCAAGUGACAGAAAUUGUGUGGUUCUCAGUGAUAUUCACAUCGACAUCAUGGACUAUAUCCAGCCUGCAACUUGCACUGAUGCAGAAUUCCGUCAGAUGUGGGCCGAAUUUGAAUGGGAAAACAAAGUGACAGUUAACACCAAUAUGGUUGAUUUAAAUGACUACUUACAGCACAUAUUAAAGUCAACCAAUAUGAAAUGCCUGACUCCAGAAAAGGUAAAAUUUGACUAGGAAAUUCAGAAAUCUGAUGGAAUGGUAGAGUAGGUUCCUGGCCUUCCUGUAUUUCCUCUAGCACAUUUUUGUUAUUCAAUAUGCAGUACCAUUCUAGGCUAUCUAAAAGAUGUUAUCCCAUAGAAUGUUGGAAUCUGCCUACCUCUUUCUAUUGGACUAUACCAUCCUACUUUUUCC
rnacentral:sRNA from 1 species